CCUGAGUCUGGGCUCACCGUUGGGAGUGAGCCACCCCGAGAGAACUGGGUAAGCGGGGCCCUGCACCCAGGGGCGCUGACACGUGGGUGGCGUGUAAUGGGCGCAUGGAGACUUGGUCGACUGUCCUGAUGAUACUGAUCCUAGGAAGUGCCGUCAGAUGCGAUAACUGACGAUUUCACACGAUCUGACCGCAGUCGCUGAGACCUCGGUAGUUCGGUUGCAGUUAACAGCAGAAUCCGCCCUAAAUGCAUGUCCUUCCUUUUCCGACAGCGACCCACCGAAGAGGGCCGAGGUCGGAGCGGCGCUGCGCCCUGCGGUUGCAUAUGAAUGAACUGGCAAGAGCUGAGGACUGCAGUGGAGCAUUGGCCUGCAACGAGGCUCUGAGUGCUGAAGAAUGGUGACCAGUGCAGGCCAAAGCUGGUGAUGGUGGUGGUGAUGGUGGCAGCGGCAGCAGCUUACCCUGGGGACAGGCUGUUUUUCCAGAGAAUGGUCCGCCAUGCUGCAGCAGGGGCAGAACUUGAAGUUCCAAGGACCAGUAGUCACCAUCAAUUUGGACUCCAGACUGAAACCUAGGCUUCAGCAUUUGGUGUAGAAAGUCUCACCUUGCCCCACUGGCUUGGCUCAGUGGAUAGAGCAUCGGCCUGCGGACUCAAGGGUCCCAGGUUCAAUUCCAGUCAAGGGCACAUGCCCAGCUUGCAGGCUUCAAU